GAGGCCGGUGGCGUGUUCCAAGGAGUUGAGGAGCUCCGCCCCCUUGUCC
rnacentral:rRNA from 1 species